rnacentral:rRNA from 1 species
CAGUAGCCGCGGGAAUACGAAGGGGGCUAGCGUUGUUCGGAUUUACUGGGCGUAAAGCGCACGUAGGCGGACUUUUAAGUCAGGGGUGAAAUCCCGGGGCUCAACCCCGGAACUGCCUUUGAUACUGGAAGUCUUGAGUAUGGUAGAGGUGAGUGGAAUUCCGAGUGUAGAGGUGAAAUUCGUAAAUAUUCGGAGGAACACCAGUGGCGAAGGCGGCUCACUGGACCAUUACUGACGCUGAGGUGCGAAAGCGUGGGGAGCAAACAGGAUUAGAUACCCCCGUAGUCCCUGUCUCUUAUAC